AUGUCUGAUCAGAGUGACAGCCAGAACAGGUCAGAGGAGCAGGUUCACCUGAGUGAGGGCACUAGUCCCUCUAGCAGUUCAGAUGAUGGUAGCAGGAGCACUCCCAGCAACUUGCCCAAAGCUGCCACCAGAACAAGGAAGAAGAAAACUUCAGAGUCUGAGGAUGAAGACUAUGUGGCAGUUGAGGAUGAAGCCACUUCCAAGAAGAAAGUGGUUAAGAAGGAAUGUAGCACUACUGCUACCACCAAGCCAGGCAUGAAGCAAAAGGUUCCUGCAAAGAGAAUUCCAAUGUCUAAGGCCAGAGCAUCUACUCAAGUCCCUUUGGGAUCUGAACCCAAAGAGGCUGCUGUAGAAGGGUAG
rnacentral:rRNA from 1 species